rnacentral:rRNA from 1 species
UACGGGGGGGGCAAGCGUUGUUCGGAAUUACUGGGCGUAAAGGGCGCGUAGGCGGCCCUCCAAGUCGGGCGUGAAAGCCCACGGCUCAACCGUGGAAUUGCGCUCGAGACUGAAGGGCUCGAGGACGGGAGAGGAUGGUGGAAUUCCCAGUGUAGAGGUGAAAUUCGUAGAUAUUAGGAAGAACACCAGUGGCGAAGGCGGCUCACUGGCCCGGUACUGACGCUGAGGCGCGAAAGCGUGGGGAGCAAACAGG